CUGUCCGCUUCACUUCACAGUCAAUGUUGCAUCAGCAGCAAAACCCUAGUACCAUUUUUGCGCUCAUGUGGUGUGAAGAACAUGCUGGAAAAGGACAACGGGCAGUUUCAGUAGCACAUUCCAACCUAACCUACACGAAAGUGGCCACAGGGAAAUUGGUGCUACCAGGUUUACCCUCUGUGAAAGAGGAAAGAACUUGGUAACAGUAUGCGUGCAAGGAUUACAAAUGCUGGAUGAUCAAGGAACCUCCUUUAUAUUGUCCAUGGGAAUCUGACAUUCAAAGAAAUAAGGAACAAACGUCGUGAUCUCACACAGAAUUGUCAAAAAGUUUUUAAUUGUAGCUUCUUAGGCAUGUCUCUCGGAGUGAUAUGUUCCGUGUGCUCUCUUCUAAAGUUAGAGCCUAACUAUGUGUAUAAUGUUCUCUUGGCCUGUUUGGAGUUAUACUGCAUAGAAAUCUGUAUGAUCCAGUUUAGCCAUGUACAUUUGGAAUAAGAUCAGGCUUGGAUCAGAGAUGAAUAUACUGUUCCUAUCUAAGAACUAGAGAAUGAAUCUAGUCUGGUUCAUUGAACUA